AUAACGACUCUUGGCAACGGAUAUCUCGGCUCUCGCAUCGAUGAAGAACGCAACGAAAUGCGAUACCUGGUGUGAAUUGCAGAAUCCCGUGAAUCAUCGAGUCUUUGAACGCAAGUUGCGCCCGAGGCCAUUUGGUCUAGGGCACGCCUGCCUGGGUGUCACA
rnacentral:rRNA from 1 species